GACGAACGCUGGCGGCGUGCUUAACACAUGCAAGUCGAACGGAAAGGCCCUGCUUUUGUGGGGUGCUCGAGUGGCGAACGGGUGAGUAACACGUGAGUAACCUGCCCUUGACUUUGGGAUAACUUCAGGAAACUGGGGCUAAUACCGGAUAGGAGCUCCUGCUGCAUGGUGGGGGUUGGAAAGUUUCGGCGGUUGGGGAUGGACUCGCGGCUUAUCAGCUUGUUGGUGGGGUAGUGGCUUACCAAGGCUUUGACGGGUAGCCGGCCUGAGAGGGUGACCGGCCACAUUGGGACUGAGAUACGGCCCAGACUCCUACGGGAGGCAGCAGUGGGGAAUAUUGCACAAUGGGCGGAAGCCUGAUGCAGCAACGCCGCGUGCGGGAUGACGGCCUUCGGGUUGUAAACCGCUUUCGCCUGUGACGAAGCGUGAGUGACGGUAAUGGGUAAAGAAGCACCGGCUAACUACGUGCCAGCAGCCGCGGUGAUACGUAGGGUGCGAGCGUUGUCCGGAUUUAUUGGGCGUACAGGGCUCGUAGGUGGUUGAUCGCGUCGGAAGUGUAAUCUUGGGGCUUAACCCUGAGCGUGCUUUCGAUACGGGUUGACUUGAGGAAGGUAGGGGAGAAUGGAAUUCCUGGUGGAGCGGUGGAAUGCGCAGAUAUCAGGAGGAACACCAGUGGCGAAGGCGGUUCUCUGGGCCUUUCCUGACGCUGAGGAGCGAAAGCGUGGGGAGCGAACAGGCUUAGAUACCCUGGUAGUCCACGCUGUAAACGGUGGGUACUAGGUGUGGGGUCCAUUCCACGGGUUCCGUGCCGUAGCUAACGCUUUAAGUACCCCGCCUGGGGAGUACGGCCGCAAGGCUAAAACUCAAAGGAAUUGACGGGGCCCCGCACAAGCGGCGGAGCAUGUGGAUUAAUUCGAUGCAACGCGUAGAACCUUACCUGGGUUUGACAUGGAUCGGGAGCGCUCAGAGAUGGGUGUGCCUCUUUUGGGGUCGGUUCACAGGUGGUGCAUGGCUGUCGUCAGCUCGUGUCGUGAGAUGUUGGGUUAAGUCCCGCAACGAGCGCAACCCUUGUUCACUGUUGCCAGCACGUUAUGGUGGGGACUCAGUGGAGACCGCCGGGGUCAACUCGGAGGAGGGUGGGGAUGACGUCAAGUCAUCAUGCCCCUUAUGUCCAGGGCUUCACGCAUGCUACAAUGGCUGGUACAGAGAGUGGCGAGCCUGUGAGGGUGAGCGAAUCUCGGAAAGCCGGUCUCAGUUCGGAUUGGGGUCUGCAACUCGACCUCAUGAAGUCGGAGUCGCUAGUAAUCGCAGAUCAGCAACGCUGCGGUGAAUACGUUCCCGGG
rnacentral:rRNA from 1 species